rnacentral:lncRNA from 1 species
GAUUUAUACAUAUUUUUUCAAAACAUAUAAAUAUAUCAUUUGUUUAACAGAAAGCGUAAACCAGUUAGGCGAGCUUUAUUCUUCAUUUGAUAAUUGAGAUGUAUUUUCAUUUAUUGUUUUAUGUUUGAUGUUAUAUUGAUAAUAAAUUAUUAGUUUCCUGGAAAAAAAAUCUUUUUAAUUUGUGACUAGAAAACUGUGCUAGCAGUUAAUUGUAUAGUGAUUAGUGAUUUAGGGAGAAAUUAAUCGGAUAACGCCCGAAUACUUAAACAUUAAAAUAUGAAAAGCCAUACUAAAUUUAUUAAUCUUUUGCGUGUGAACAUUUUCUAAAUUAAUUCGAACUUAAUGUAUUUCAGAAUUUUGGACUCAAAAUUAUGUAGCGAAACUUGCCA